ACUAUUUUGGCAGAAAAAGUGCAAUAAACUUAGAAUUUAUUUAUGUAAUUUGUAUUACAAGUAGUA
rnacentral:tRNA from 1 species